UACGGAGGGAGCUAGCGUUGUUCGGAAUCACUGGGCGUAAAGCGCGUGUAGGCGGCUUUGCAAGUCGGGUGUGAAAGCCCUCGGCUCAACCGAGGAAGUGCGCCCGAAACUGCAGAGCUUGAGUACCGGAGAGGGUGGCGGAAUUCCCCAAGUAGAGGUGAAAUUCGUAGAUAUGGGGAGGAACACCGGUGGCGAAGGCGGCCACCUGGACGGAUACUGACGCUGAGACGCGAAAGCGUGGGGAGCAAACAGG
rnacentral:rRNA from 1 species